AUUGAACGCUGGCGGCAUGCCUUACACAUGCAAGUCGAACGGCAGCACGGGUGCUUGCACCUGGUGGCGAGUGGCGAACGGGUGAGUAAUAUAUCGGAACGUACCUUAUUGUGGGGGAUAACGCAGCGAAAGCUGUGCUAAUGCCGCAUAAUCCCUAAGGGGGAAAGCGGGGGACCGUAAGGCCUCGCGCAAUUAGAGCGGCCGAUACCUGAUUAGCUAGUUGGUGAGGUAAAGGCUCACUAAGGCAACGAUCAGUAGCUGGUCUGAGAGGACGAUCAGCCACCCUGGGACUGAGAAACGGCCCAGACUCCGACGGGAGGCAGCAGUGGGGAAUUUUGGACAAGGAGGGCAACCCGGAUCCAGCAAUGCGGCGUGAGUGAAGAAGGCCUUCGGGUUGUAAAGCUCUUUUGUCAGGGAAGAAACAGCAGCUCUAACACAGUUUGCGAAUGACGGUACCUGAAGAAUAAGCACCGGCUAACUACGUGCCAGCAGCCGCGGUAA
rnacentral:rRNA from 1 species